UCCACUUCCGUGCCUGUGAAGUUGUUUUAUGUCAAAAAUAACAAAAAUACUCAUUUUCCGGGACCCCGACUUUUGAUAUAAGACAUUUUUAUCGUAAUACUAUACACAUUUUGAUUUAUAAUGCUUUUUAGAUCUCAUUUAUCUAGUGAUAUGUGUUUUAUCAUAUACCCUUUCAUUCUAUCUUACAAUAAAUUCACACUUUGAAAGUCUGUAUUUUCAGAUUUACCAAAACUAUACCCCAGCUAAGAUAGGUUAUGGGGUGUGAUCGAGAGGACAAAAGUGCUUUAUGUUCGUUGGAGAGAGAGAGAGCUUGUUUUCAUUUUGGGAUAGUCUUUUAAAGAUAGGUUAUGGGGUGUGAUCGAGAGGACAAAAGUGCUUUAUGAUCGUUGGAGAGAGAGAGAGCCCAAGUUACUUCCAAUUACAGUUUCCUCGAACCUGUCAUUUUUGUUUGAUAUUUAACCUUAACUGCACG